AGUGAACGCUGGCGGUAGGCCUAACACAUGCAAGUCGAACGGCAGCACAGUAAGAGCUUGCUCUUACGGGUGGCGAGUGGCGGACGGGUGAGGAAUACAUCGGAAUCUACUUUUUCGUGGGGGAUAACGUAGGGAAACUUACGCUAAUACCGCAUACGACCUACGGUUGAAAGCAGGGGAUCUUCGGACCUUGCGCGAUUGAAUGAGCCGAUGUCGGAUUAGCUAGUUUGCGGGGUAAAGGCCCACCAAGGCGACGAUCCGUAGCUGGUAUGAGAAGAUGAUCAGCCACACUGGAACUGAGACAAGGUCCAGACUCCUACGGGAUGCAGCAGUGGGGAAGAUUCGACAAUGGGCGCAAGCCUGAUCCAGCCAUACCGCGUGGGUGAAGAAGGCCUUCGGGUUGUAAAGCCCUUUUGUUGGGAAAGAAAAGCAGCAGGUUAAUACCCCGCUGUUCUGACGGUACCCAAAGAAUAAGCACCGGCUAACUUCGUG
rnacentral:rRNA from 1 species